GAUGAACGCUAGCUACAGGCUUAACACAUGCAAGUCGAGGGACCGGCGCACGGGUGAGUAACACGUAUCCAACCUGCCCUUUACGCGGGGAUAGCCUUUCGUAAGAAAGAUUAAUAACCGAUGUAAAGGAUGGUGAUGCGUUCCAUUAGGUGGUUGGUGCGGUAACGGCUCACCAAGCCUUCGAUGGAUAGGGGUUCUGAGAGGAAGUUCCCCGACAUUGGAACUGAGCCCCGGUCCAAACUCCUACGGGAGGCAGCAGUGAUGAAUAUUGGUCAAUGGGCUUUAGCCUGAACCAGCCACGUAGCGUGAAGGAUGAAGGCUUAUGGGUCGUAAACUUCUUUUAUAUAAGAAUCUGUAUUCUAUGAAUAAGGAUCGGCUAACUCCGUGCCAGCAGCCGCGGUAAUUC
rnacentral:rRNA from 1 species